rnacentral:rRNA from 1 species
GAUGAACGCUGGCGGCGUGCCUAAUACAUGCAAGUCGAGCGAACAGACGAGGAGCUUGCUCCUCUGACGUUAGCGGCGGACGGGUGAGUAACACGUGGAUAACCUACCUAUAAGACUGGGAUAACUUCGGGAAACCGGAGCUAAUACCGGAUAAUAUAUUGAACCGCAUGGUUCAAUAGUGAAAGACGGUUUUGCUGUCACUUAUCGAUGGAUCCGCGCCGCAUUGGCUAGUUGGUAAGGUAACGGCUUACCAAGGCAACGAUGCGUAGCCGAGCUGAGAGAGGGAUCGGCCACACUGGAACUGAGACACGGUCCAGACUCCUACGGGAGGCAGCAGUAGGGAAUCUUCCGCAAUAGGCGAAAGCUUGACGGAGCAACGCCGCGUGAGUGAUGAAGGUCUUCGGAUCGUAAAACUCUGUUAUUAGGGAAGAACAAAUGUGUAAGUAACUAUGCACGUCUUGACGGUACCGAAUCAGAAAGCCACGGCUAACUACGUG